rnacentral:rRNA from 1 species
AUUGAACGCUGGCGGCAGGCCUAACACAUGCAAGUCGAGCGAGUGGCGGACGGGUGAGUAAUGUCUGGGAAACUGCCUGAUGGAGGGGGAUAACUACUGGAAACGGUAGCUAAUACCGCAUACCAUCAGAUGUGCCCAGAUGGGAUUAGCUAGUAGGUGGGGUAAAGGCUCACCAAGGCGACGAUCCCUAGCUGGUCUGAGAGGAUGACCAGCCACACUGGAACGGAGACACGGUCCAGACUCCUACGGGAGGCAGCAGUGGGGAAUAUUGCACAAUGGGCGAAAGCCUGAUGCAGCCAUGCCGCGUGUGUGAAGAAGGCCUUCGGGUUGUAAAGUACUUUCAGCGGGGAGGCGUUACCCGCAGAAGAAGCACCGGCUAACUCCGUGCCAGCAGCCGCGGUAAUAC